UGGGGAAUAUUGCACAAUGGGCGAAAGCCUGAUGCAGCGACGCCGCGUGAGGGAUGACGGCCUUCGGGUUGUAAACCUCUUUCAGUAGGGACGAAGCGCAAGUGACGGUACCUGCAGAAGAAGCACCGGCUAACUACGUGCCAGCAGCCGCGGUAAUACGUAGGGUGCGAGCGUUGUCCGGAAUUACUGGGCGUAAAGAGCUCGUCGGCGGUUUGUCACGUCGUCUGUGAAAUCCUAGGGCUUAACCCUGGACGUGCAGGCGAUACGGGCUGACUUGAGUACUACAGGGGAGACUGGAAUUUCUGGUGUAGCGGUGGAAUGCACAGAUAUCAGGAAGAACACCGAUGGCGAAGGCAGGUCUCUGGGUAGUAACUGACGCUGAGGAGCGAAAGCAUGGGUAGCGAACAGG
rnacentral:rRNA from 1 species